AUUGAACGCUGGCGGCAGGCCUAACACAUGCAAGUCGAACGAGUGGCGGACGGGUGAGUAAUGUCUGGGAAACUGCAUGAUGGAGGGGGAUAACUACUGGAAACGGUAGCUAAUACCGCAUACCAUCGGAUGUGCCCAGAUUGGAUUAGCUAGUAGGGGGGGUAAAGGCUCACCUAGGCGACGAUCCCUAUCUGGUCUGAGAGGAUGACCAGCCACACUGGAACUGAGACACGGGCCAGAUUCCUACGGGAGGCAGCAGUGGGGAAUAGUGCACAAUGGGCGCAAGCCUGAUGCAGCCAUGCCGCGUGUAUGAAGAAGGCCUUCGGGGUGUAAAGUACUUUCAGCGGGGAGGCGUUACUCGCAGAAGAAGCACCGGCUAACUCCGUGCCAGCAGCCGCGGUAAUAC
rnacentral:rRNA from 1 species